UUAAAGAUCUGGUGAAAAAAGCAGCGCGUUGGAUUCCGUUACACCUAGCAUUUUUCUUUACCCGAAUCUGCUAUGAGAACAGUUUUACUCGUUUCUAGAGUGAAGCUCUUCACAUCUAAGGAGAAACCGAGGCCCUGAGGGUGAGACUUGACGUGUGAAAGAGAGAGUCGGGGGCAGCUGGAGAUCAAGGGGCGGGAGCGCAUCUCGGCAUCAAGGGCUAUAGAGGUUCAGGUUUGAAACAAAACUGAGACCAACGGAGACUGAGAGUCAUCAUUGAGACAGCAGUCCAUCCGCAGAGACUGAAGUUCAGAAAACAGGUGAAGCUUCUCCACAAUGAGCUCAGACCUCUGGCAGAAUCGGCCUCCACCUUCAGUCGCCACAGACUGAGGAUCCGAAGAGACUGGAGAUUUGACAGCAAAGAAG